AAAAACACACUUAGGGCCCUAUCCUGCACCCGGCGCAGCACAAAGCCUGACGCAAGUUCCUUUGCUAGUUUAAGACCAAUGCAGUUCUCAAUUUCCCAUCCAUCCAAUGCACCUGCGCCCAUCUGUGCACCCAUGGGUGUGCUGGUCUGACAGGGAGGUGUAUUUAGGUGCAUUUUUGGCGUAUU